AUUGAACGCUGGCGGCAGGCCUAACACAUGCAAGUCGAGCGGAUGAGAGGAGCUUGCUUCUCGAUUCAGCGGCGGACGGGUGAGUAAUGCCUAGGAAUCUGCCUGGUAGUGGGGGACAACGUUUCGAAAGGAACGCUAAUACCGCAUACGCCCUACGGGAGAAAGCAGGGGACCUUCGGGCCUUGCGCUAUCAGAUGAGCCUAGGUCGGAUUAGCUAGUUGGUGAGGUAAUGGCUCACCAAGGCGACGAUCCGUAACUGGUCUGAGAGGAUGAUCAGUCACACUGGAACUGAGACACGGUCCAGACUCCUACGGGAGGCAGCAGUGGGGAAUAUUGGACGAUGGGCGAAAGCCUGAUCCAGCCAUGCCGCGUGUGUGAAGAAGGUCUUCGGAUUGUAAAGCACUUUAAGUUGGGAGGAAGGGUUGUAGAUUAAUACUCUGCAAUUUUGACGUUACCGACAGAAUAAGCACCGGCUAACUCUGUGCCAGCAGCCGCCGUAACAC
rnacentral:rRNA from 1 species